rnacentral:rRNA from 1 species
CUACGGGUUGCUGCAGUGGGGAAUAUUGGACAAUGGACCAAAAGUCUGAUCCAGCAAUUCUGUGUGCACGAUGACGGUUUUCGGAUUGUAAAGUGCUUUCAACAGGGAAGAAGUUCUGACGGUACCUGUAGAAGAAGCGACGGCUAAAUACGUGCCAGCAGCCGCGGUAAUACGUAUGUCGCAAGCGUUAUCCGGAUUUAUUGGGCAUAAAGGGCAUCUAGGCGGCUUAGUAAGUCUGAUGUGAAAAUGCGGGGCUCAACUCCGUAUUGCGUUGGAAACUACUAGGCUAGAGUAUUGGAGAGGUAGGCGGAACUACAUGUGUAGAGGUGAAAUUCGUAGAUAUAUGUAGGAAUGCCGAUGACGAAGGUAGCUUACUGGGCAAUUACUGACGCUGAAGUGCGAAAGCUAGGGGAGCAAACAGGAUUAGAUACCCUUGUAGUC